UACAGAGGUCUCAAGCGUUUGUUCGGAUUCAUUGGGCGUAAAGGGUGCGUAGGUGGCGCCGUAAGUCGGGUGUGAAAUUUCGGAGCUUAACUCCGAAACUGCAUUCGAUACUGCCGUGCUUGAGGACUGGAGAGGAGACUGGAAUUUACGGUGUAGCGGUGAAAUGCGUAGAUAUCGUAAGGAAGACCAGUGGCGAAGGCGGGUCUCUGGACAGUUC
rnacentral:rRNA from 1 species